rnacentral:rRNA from 1 species
CCUACGGGAGGCUGCAGUGGGGAAUAUUGGACAAUGGGCGAAAGCCUGAUCCAGCCAUGCCGCGUGUGUGAAGAAGGCCUUCGGGUUGUAAAGCACUUUCAGUGGGGAAGAAAGCCUUGGGGCUAAUACCCUCGAGGAAGGACAUCACCCACAGAAGAAGCACCGGCUAACUCCGUGCCAGCAGCCGCGGUAAUACGGAGGGUGCGAGCGUUAAUCGGAAUUACUGGGCGUAAAGCGCGCGUAGGCGGUCUGAUAAGCCGGUUGUGAAAGCCCCGGGCUCAACCUGGGAACGGCAUCCGGUACUGUCAGGCUAGAGUGCAGGAGAGGAAAGUAGAAUUCCCGGUGUAGCGGUGAAAUGCGUAGAGAUCGGGAAGAAUACCAGUGGCGAAGGCGGCCUUCUGGACUGACACUGACGCUGAGGUGCGAAAGCGUGGGUAGCAAACAGGAUUAGAUACCCGGGUAGUC